GAGGAGGAGCGUUGCAAAUGUCGUGACAAGAAGUUUCCGUGCGCCCGAGAGCGUGUGAAUUGCUCCUAAUUACCGUGUCCGGUGCGCCUCUCCGCGUAGACGUGUGUAACCCCUCUACUCCUGGGGCUCCGGCUCCACUGAGCCACUCUCCCUUGGCCCGGGGCGCUUGGCAAGGCCGAGCUUCCCAAGUGGCCCCGGAGGCCUGGGGCGGGACAGGAGCAGGUGACAAUUCAAUUACCGCUGUCGAAGUGGGAGUGGAACCCGGGUGCCGGGGUGGGGGAGGGAGGGCGUUCACCGCAGACUUGCCAAGAUGGUUUUUGCUGGCUUCCUUCUGACCGUGACCGUGUGCUUCCACGUCCGACGGGCUCCGAGGUAGUUGAGAGCCGGUUUGCUCCCUUCCCCCGUCCUCUGUCACCUUUAAUGUUUAGUUCCUUCGUUUGCAAAGUCCUGACACCGUGGGCGUCACGGAGGCGAAAGUAAAAAGCCGCCUUUGCGACUCCCCAGAUCCUCUGGAGGCUGGGGACACCGGCCAGACGGUCAGACCCACAAGCCUUCUGCAGGGGGCGAGGGCCCUGGACCUGCUUUGACUUGGCCUUCCUCGACCCGUGCUGACGUCACGGCCCCAGAACCCGUUGGGUCUGCGGAGGAGAGUAAAGAAAAUUCGUUUAAAUGAAAUGCGAA
rnacentral:lncRNA from 1 species